rnacentral:rRNA from 1 species
CAGUCGCCGCGGGAAUACGAAGGGGGCUAGCGUUGCUCGGAAUGACUGGGCGUAAAGGGCGCGUAGGCGGCGGCCAAAGUCAGGCGUGAAAUUCCCGGGCUCAACCUGGGGGCUGCGUUUGAUACUUGGUUGCUUGAGUGGGGAAGAGGGUCGUGGAAUUCCCAGUGUUGAGGUGAAAUUCGUAGAUAUUGGGAAGAACACCGGUGGCGAAGGCGGCGACCUGGUCCUUGACUGACGCUGAGGCGCGAAAGCGUGGGGAGCAAACAGGAUUAGAUACCCGCGUAGUCCCUGUCUCUUAUAC